AAAGGCAGGCGAUUCUGGAAGCACUUAUUUACCUUUUCCAACAACACCCUCAAGUGCCUCCAAGGUGCUGAGAGACGCAGCAAAGUCAUUGGCCCAGAUGUUCCUUCCAUCAACAACACCAGCGAAGAGGUACUUUCCCUCGGGGAAACCAGCCUUGACUAAAUCAAGGGUCUUUGUGCCACGAACCAAGUCAAAUCCAAAGGCAGUCACACCCUUCAACGAAGUUAGGGUCUUGUAUGCUUCAGCAGGGAUAUCAGCGAAGUAGGUCUCAACAAGAACAUUCAAACCAGACAGAGUUGAUUCAAGUUCAGCAUAAGCCCCAGUGAGGGCCUGGAGUUUGUGGCCCUCAAGAUCCAUGACAAGGACAGGCUCGUCAAGCUGAAUCCAGGUGGCACCAGCUGCCUUAAGCUCUGUGAUCACUUCCCUGUACACAAAUCAAAGUCAUAAUAUCAGUGACAUGUUAGACGAUCAUUCAUAACUAAAAUAAAAAGGAAGUGAUUUCUUACUUGUAGACAGGGAGAAUUUUGGGGAGAAGAGAAAGAAGGUCAAAAGACUUCUCUACACCCUUGGCAGCCUUAGAAAGCAACAAGUAAGAGACAGGGCCAACAAGUACGGGGACGGUGUCAACACCAAGCUGCAUAACAUAAAGUUUUAUAGGAUCAGAACUUCAGAAUAGCAAUCUAGCAGAUGAAAGAAAGAAACCUACUUUAAGUGUACAAACGACAAUUAGCAGAAGAACAAGAAACUACUUUAGGUGUCAAAACACAACCAGAGUCAAAUUAAUUUAUAUCAGCUAUUCUAUCAAGUAACUGGUGUUUAUGAAUGUGCAAGUGAGUAUAUUCUUAAUUCAUCACUUGUCUAUGUGAUUAUGUGAAACAGCGUUCAGUGAAUCUAAGCUCAAACAGUAAAUCCUGGAACCAAAGCCUAUUAUCUCUAAUAGAUUAGUCCUAAAGCAGACUGUAAAAUUCAUAAGAAAUUGAAAAUAGCGAAGAAUAAUACGUACAGCCUUGGCCUCCUUGUACUCAUUCACAGCCUUGUGCGAUGCGUACGAAAAGUUAACCUCAGGGCCCAACUCAGGGACGAUGUAAUGGCUGCAUCAACAAAACAUCAUUACAUUAGUCCAAUAUUCAAAAAAAAAAGCCCAACUAACAAUGUCGCUGCAAGGGAGACGAGACUCACUAGUUGGUGUCAAACCACUUGGUCAUCUCCAUGGCGGGAACAGAGGCAUUUCCUCUAGCCAUGGAGAAGUAAACAUCCAACCCAAUCUCACCACCGGUGUAACCGUAUCUGGGUGGAACAGCACCGAGCAUGGCGGUGGUGUCAAGAACCUGAUCGUAGUGAGCAAAGGUGUUGCUUGGGAUGUACUUGGUCCCAGCCUCAGACAUCUGCUUCCAGAUACCCGACCUGAUAUCAGCAGACACCUUCUGAAGAUCCUCAGCAGUGCUCUUCUUAUCCCAGAAUGACUCCAACGCGAACUUGAGCUCUCUCUUGGGGCCCAUACGUGGAUAUCCAACAAUGUGCGACGCCAUUUUUGAUUUUCUUUAACUGCAACAAACAAAACAAACAAGAUCAAUAUCUCAUAUUUAAAUAAAAGAUUUAUUAAUAUAUAUAAUAAUAAGGCUAAGUUACUGACUCCAAGAAAGCAGCCAACAACAGUUCACGUGUACGCAAAAAAAAAAAAUAUCGAAAAGUGUAGCAGCUUUUUGUCGUAUUAUAUGAUUGAGAUAAACGAGACGAGUCCACUUCAGAGUGGAAUUUGAAAAGUUUUAGAUCAGAUCACAUGCAACAUUUUAUCACUAGGAGAUGAUCUAAAGCGGAUCUAACACACACGAGCUCAUAACGACGACCAUUUUCAAUAGAUCGCAAAUCAGAUCGAGAACCAGAUCUACGAAUCGAAUAACACUAGAAACUCAGAUCUGUGACUGAUGAAGUCUCUCACCGUUUAGAUAUACACUACGAACAAACAGAUCGCGGAGAAAUAGAACCAAAUAUGAUAUUCAAAUCUAAUCACAGUCGAGAGAGUAGUAAUAACAAUAACAACAACGUGGAGACGAAGAACGAAAUGAAUAACGAAGGGGGAAGCUAGCUAAAUAAGGGAGAACGUAGGGAAGGUAGAGAAACUCGGAGACGUACCUCACGGAGGAAGAAUCGGAGAAGAGAAGAAGAAAGGGUUGGCUACGAAGAAGAGAAGGCGAGGAAGGAGAGUGGGCUUGCGAGUUUAUUUAUAGCAAAAACAAAUAAUGAUAGAUCGUUGGGCUCUCUGCAUUAUUGUCUAGAUCUGGUGGUUGAUAUUUUCGGCAUUUAUCAUUUAUUUUUCAUUUUAUUUUCUUUUUACGGCUAUUUAUUUGCAUUUAUUUUCCUACAAUAUAUUUUCUUACCAAAAGUGUGGAAAAUUAAUAAGUAUGAAUAAAGCUAGUAAAUACGAUUCUAUCAGUACUACAACAUACCUAUCACCUUUUCAUUUUAUUUUCCCACAAUAUGUUUUGAUUUCAGAAAAAAAACAGUCACUAAUUUUCUUUAUUUGUCUCCCUCACCACAUAUUAUUUAUAAUUAAAUCAUAUAUAUACUCGAAUACUAAAUAAAAUAAAUUCAUAUAAAACUUAGUUAAAAAAAUUAUUAGUAAUUUAUGUUCUUCAAUGUAUUUUAGUUGCGUAUGUAUUUUGGCUUGAAAUUUAAAAAUAUGAACAAAGUAAUAUAUGGUUCACUAAAACGGAUCUUUAGAUAAUAUCUUAACUAAUUAACAGAAAUAUCUUAGCUUCAAAUUUGUAUUAGUAGUUUGGAUUAGUAAAGAUCAAUCUAUUUAUUUUUACUGUAGUAAAUCCUAAUCAUCUAGUUAGUCGUAUUAAGAAAUUAAAUAGAGAAUUAAAACGUGAAGGGGAGUUGGUGGUGUGCGUGGAGCGAUUAGUAGGUGGCAUGGGACCCACGGAGGUUGGUGGGGAUUCACAUUUCACAGUGAAGUUUCUGCUAAAUACGACGGCGUUUAGCAUUCAGCACGAAGAGUAUCGACAUUGAGCGCUGCUCGUGCUCGGCAGCGUUUUGGAAACCAUGUGGAGGUUGAAGCUGACUAUUUUUGAUAAAAUAAAAAAUAAAUUCCCAUAAUUUGACUACUAAAAAUACAUUUUAGGUUAGUAAAUACAAUAGUCAUAAUCAUGAUAUUUAUGUUUUUAUAGAACUGGCCGAGAAAAAUAUUAUGGUUGGUGACUAUAGUUGGUGGAGAAGGAUUGUGGCCCCACAAUAUAUAUGUAAUUGUUUAAGAUUCAUAAGCAAAGUGAUGAGUGGUCUUGAUGUUGUUGUUUGCUGAUGAUUUGGCCACCGUAUAUUGAUUCUUAACUUAUAUUAUCUUCAUCGCUUCCCUUAAUUACAUCUUACUUUUUCCUUCUAAUCCUAUUUUGAAUUUUCUUUAUGUUUUUAUGAAGUUAAAUCUUGAAUAUUAAUGAUAAGCAAAAAAAUUUUGACGCUUGCAAAAUAAACUUUGUAUAGACAUCUUAAGAACCUCACUGUUUCUCAAGCUUGCGUUAGGACAUUCGAAGGACUAAAAGUCUAUAUCACAUACUAGUAGUCUAAGAAAUCUAUGCAUAGUGGGAUCGAUAUGGUUUUUCUCAUACCAAUCAUUGAUCCUUAAUUUUAUCAUGUAGUUCAAUGUUUAUAGAAGUCUAACCAUAGUACAUACACUACUUUAUUAAUGUAUAAGCUCUUGUAGAGGGAGUCGUGAGUAUGGUCCAAGUUCAAGAACUAGGUUGGACUUUUUGAGUACCAUUCUCUUGUAUCGGAAACUGUGUAGGUGUGUAUUUCGAGUUUAAAAAAUAAUAAAAUGUAGAAGAUGGUGAUGCUGCUCCAAACCGACAAUUCAGGGCCUGACUGGUUCAACCGCAGCGGUUGCGGUUGCGGGAGUUUGCGGAUGCGGGUGGUUGCGGUUUCUAGCGGUUUUAAGAGAUUCGUACGACUGGUUAUGCGGUUAGAAAUUGGUAAACUCCGAAAACACAAGGCAAAGAUCAAUCUCUAGAUGCCCUGGGAUAUCUAUUCGAAAAAGUUUCCAUACUUGGAGAAGAACCAAUCUUUAUUUCCUUUCAAUACACCUUUUUUAGCUUCCAUACUUGGAGAAGAACCAAUCUUUAUUUCCUUUAAAUACCCCUUAGAAAAAAAGAUAUGUUUCAUAAGAGAAAUGAAGGAUACAAAACGAGAAACACAAAACAAAUCCAAAAGAUACAUAUCUCUCAACUCUCUCAGCAAGAGGGGAAACCAUAUGCAUCAAACCUAACUUCAACUAGAUAUUUUUAGAAAGGUAAUUAAACAAAACAAAAACACAACCAUUAUAGAGAAAAAGAACUCAAGUAUCCUUCUUCAAAUCAUUCAUCUCUUUUCAAGCUUUUCUUCACUUGGCACUGGCGAGCUGGGAGCGGAUGAGUUUAGCCGCAUCAACCAUGUUCUUCAGGGCAGGCUUGACCUCUGUGUACUUACGGGUCUUGAGACCACAGUCAGGGUUAACCCAAAGGAUGUUCUGCUCAAGAACAGCAAGCAUCUUGUUCACUCUCUCUGCGAUUUCCUCAGUUGAUGGUAUUCUUGGAGAGUGGAUGUCGUAGACACCUGGACCAAUUCCAGCACCGUACUUCACUCCUUCACGGAACACAGAGAGAAGCUUCUCAUCAGAUCGGGAGUUCUCGAUGGUGAUGACAUCAGCAUCCAUGUCGAUGAUGGAGUGUAUGAUGUCAUUGAAGUGAGAGUAGCACAUGUGAGUGUGGAUCUGCAUAAUAACACCACCAUAAGAAAACGGAAAAAACACUUCACUCUAGUAUAUACGAGCGAUAUGUGUUUGAAGGAAGCAAACCUGGGUGGUGUCUUGGACUCCACAGUUGGUGAUUCUGAAGGAGUGAACAGCCCAGUCCAAGUAGAAAGCAUGCUCGGAUUUCCUGAGUGGUAAUCCUUCUCUGAGUGCAGCCUCAUCGAUCUGAAUGACAUUAAUACCACCUUUCUCAAGAUCCUCGACUUCGUCCUUGAUGGCCAGAGCGAUCUGGUAACAGGUCUCGUGCCUACAAAGUUUUUCAGAUAUAUACGUUUUAGUCAUUUUGUUGUAAGCUGUGUUUGUUUCAGACUUGAGAGUUUUUAUUUUGUGUACCUGGGCUGGUCAUUUCUGACAAAGGACCAGUUAAGAAUGGUGACAGGGCCGGUAAGCAUUCCCUUCAUUGGGCGAGAGGUCAUGCUCUGAGCCAUUGCGGACCAGAAGACGGUCAUUGCCUUGGGACGGCUCACAUCACCGUAGAUAACUGGUGGCUUCACACAACGAGAUCCAUAAGAUUGGACCCAUCCAUUUGCGGUGAAGGCAAAACCAGACAACUGCUCCCCGAAGUACUCAACCAUGUCGUUUCUCUACAAAAUUGUUGAAACGUGUCUCGUCAGAAACAUUAAAACGGACUACCAUCAAUAACUUUGAAUUGUCAGUACUCUACUUCGAGGGUUCAAGCAAUAACAUAUAACAUUAAAAAGAAAACACUCACCUCUGGCUCUCCGUGAACGAGAACAUCAAUGUCAAGUUCCUCUUGGAGGUCAACAACUUUCUUGAUCUCUUCCUUCAUGGCCUUAACAUAGUCCUCCUCGGAAACCCUAUCAAAGAGAUUCACCGUUAGUAUCAUACCGUUUAAGGAGAUACCAGGAAUAAAAUUUAGGAGACUAACUUCUUAGCCUUGUAUUCUCUGCGAACUCUCCUGAGCUCUACAGUCUGGGGGAAGGACCCAAUGGUGGUGGUUGGCAGGAUUGGGAGGUUAAGCUUCUUCUGCUGAGCAUCUAACCUAGCGCUAACAUUAGUUGCACGACGGUGGUCUGAGCCCUUCAAAGCAGCAGCCUGAGAUAACAAAUCAGAAACCAUCUCGAUCAAUAAAUGCUAAGGAGAAAUCAGUGACUGUGGAGAUGGCUGAGGUUUGCGCCAAACUUACAGCCUUCUGGACACCCUCGUUGGUGACUCUUGGGGAAGACCUCCUUGAAGCCAAAGCAGCAGCGUUGGCGGAGAAAAGGGCCUGAAAGGGAAUACAAUAUUAGCAUUCUAGUGUUUACUAAAUCAUUUACAUUGCAAAACUAUUCAAGGAUUUAAUAAAGUAGGUGGAUAAAAUUUCUACCUCAUCCUUCUGACCAGCCAAAGCCUUGGCCAGUGCGUUCACUUCAACGAUCUUCUGGGCAGCAAACGCCAACCAUGACUUGAUUUCGUCGUCAAGCUUGGUCUCGUUUACAAGAUCGACGGCGGUGUGGAGAAGAGAGCAGGAGGUUGAGACUACAAGCUUGUCUGAAUCAAUGCAGAAAGAUAUAACAGGUCAACGGUUGAAAUUUUUGUUUCUCAGUAAUCCCUUAGUAUAUUGUCGGUGACUCGGUAAAAGGAAGAUGAUUAUGGAAGCACUUAUAUUAUAUACCUUUUCCAACAACACCCUCAAGUGCCUCCAAGGUGCUGAGGGACGCAGCAAAGUCGUUGGCCCAGAUGUUCCUUCCAUCAACAACACCAGCGAAGAGGUACUUUCCCUCGGGGAAACCAGCCUUGACCAAAUCAAGGGUCUUGGUGCCACGAACCAAGUCAAAUCCAAAGGCAGUCACACCCUUCAACGAAGUCAGGGUCUUGUAUGCUUCAGCAGGGAUAUCAGCGAAGUAAGUCUCAACAAGAACAUUCAAACCAGAAAGAGUUGAUUCAAGUUCAGCAUAGGCUCCAGUGAAGGCCUGGAGUUUGUGGCCCUCAAGAUCCAUAACGAGAACAGGCUCGUCGAGCUGAAUCCAGGUGGCACCAGCAGCCUUAAGCUCGGUGAUCACUUCCCUGUAGACAAAUCAAAGUAAUAAUGUCAGUGUUGGAUUACCAAUAACAUCAAGGACAUGGAUUGAAAAGUAAAAGAAAGAAU
rnacentral:lncRNA from 1 species